UACGUAGGGUGCAAGCGUUUGUCCGGAAUUAUUGGGCGUAAAGAGCUCGUAGGCGGUUUGUUGCGUCGGCUGUGAAAUCCCGAGGCUCAACCUCGGGUCUGCAGUCGAUACGAGCAAACUAGAGUGUUGCAGGGGAGACUGGAAUUCCUGGUGUAGCGGUGAAAUGCGCAGAUAUCAGGAGGAACACCGGUGGCGAAGGCGGGUCUCUGGGCAACAACGUGACGUGGAGGAGCGAAAGCGUGGGGAGCGAACAGG
rnacentral:rRNA from 1 species